UUUAUUUCCACCCUUUGUCUUUUGCGUACUUCUUGUUUCCUUGGUGGGUUCGCCCACCACUAGGACAAACAUAAACCUUUUGUAAUUGCAAUCAGCGUCAGUAACAAAUUAAUAAUUACAACUUUCAACAACGGAUCUCUUGGUUCUGGCAUCGAUGAAGAACGCAGCGAAAUGCGAUAAGUAGUGUGAAUUGCAGAAUUCAGUGAAUCAUCGAAUCUUUGAACGCACAUUGCGCCCUUUGGUAUUCCAAAGGGCAUGCCUGUUCGAGCGUCAUUUGUACCCUCAAGCUUUGCUUGGUGUUGGGCGUCUUGUCUCUAGCUUUGCUGGAGACUCGCCUUAAAGUAAUUGGCAGCCGGCCUACUGGUUUCGGAGCGCAGCACAAGUCGCACUCUCUAUCAGCAAAGGUCUAGCAUCCAUUAAGCCUUUUUUUCAACUUUUGACCUCGGAUCAGGUAGGGAUACCCGCUGAA
rnacentral:rRNA from 1 species